UACAGAGGCCCCAAGCGUUACUGAGAAUCACUGGGUUUAAAGGGCGCGUAGGUGGCGCGUUAAGUCCGUUGUGAAAGCCCUGGGCUCAACCCAGGAACUGCUUCGGAUACUGGCGCGCUUGAGGCUAGUAGGGGUCACUGGAACUGACGGUGGAGCGGUGAAAUGCGUAGAUAUCGUCAGGAACGCCAAUGGUGAAGACAGGUGACUGGGCUAGUUCUGACACUGAGGCACGAAAGCGUGGGGAGCGAACGGG
rnacentral:rRNA from 1 species